rnacentral:rRNA from 1 species
UGGGGAAUAUUGGACAAUGGGCGCAAGCCUGACCCAGCCAAGCCGCGUGAGUGAUGAAGGCCUUCGGGUCGUAAAGCUCUGUGGGGAGGGCCGAACAAACUGGGCGCUAAUCACCCCGGUCCUGACGGUACCUCCUUAGCCAGCACCGGCUAACCCUGUACCAGGAGCCGCGGUAAUACAGGGGGUGCAAACGUUGCUCGGAAUUAUUGGGCGUAAAGCGCGCGUAGGCGGCUACUUAAGUCGGAUGUGAAAGCCCCUGGCUUAACUGGGGAAGUGCACCCGAAACUGAGUAGCUAGAGUGCGAAAGAGGGUCGCGGAAUUCCCGGUGUAGAGGUGAAAUUCGUAGAUAUCGGGAGGAACACCGGUGGCGAAGGCGGCGACCUGGGUCGACACUGACGCUGAGGCGCGAAAGCGUGGGGAGCAAAC